UACAGAGGUCCCGAGCGUUGUUCGGAUUCACUGGGCGUAAAGGGUGCGCAGGUGGCUUGGCAAGUUUGAUGUGAAAGCUCAGGGCUUAACCCUGAAAUGGCAUUGAAUACUGUUGAGCUGGAGGUUUGGAGGGGGGACUGGAAUUCUUGGUGUAGCAGUGAAAUGCGUAGAUAUCAAGAGGAACACCAGUGGCGAAGGCGAGUCCCUGGACAACACCUGACACUGAGGCACGAAAGCUAGGGGAGCAAACAGG
rnacentral:rRNA from 1 species